rnacentral:rRNA from 16 species
GGAUGCGAUCAUACCAGCACUAAAGCACCGGAUCCCAUCAGAACUCCGAAGUUAAGCGUGUUUGGGCGAGAGUAGUACUAGGAUGGGUGACCUCCUGGGAAGUCCUUGGGAUGCAUUCC